rnacentral:tRNA from 1 species
CGAAAUGUAGCUUAACCAAAGCAUCUCGCUUACACCGAGAAAAUGUCAGUUAAAAUCAGACCAUAUCGAG